rnacentral:rRNA from 1 species
UACGUAGGGUGCAAGCGUUAUCCGGAAUUAUUGGGCGUAAAGAGCUCGUAGGCGGUUUGUCGCGUCUGCUGUGAAAACCCGAGGCUCAACCUCGGGCCUGCAGUGGGUACGGGCAGACUAGAGUGUGGUAGGGGAGACUGGAAUUCCUGGUGUAGCGGUGAAAUGCGCAGAUAUCAGGAGGAACACCGAUGGCGAAGGCAGGUCUCUGGGCCACUACUGACGCUGAGAAGCGAAAGCAUGGGGAGCGAACAGG